rnacentral:sRNA from 1 species
GCUGGGUGUGGUAGUGCAUGCCUGUAAUCCCAGCAACUUGGGAGGCUUAGAUCGGAGGAUUACAAGUAAGAUCAGCCUUAGC